rnacentral:rRNA from 1 species
UACGUAGGGAGCAAGCGUUGUCCGGAAUUAUUGGGUGUAAAGGGAGUGUAGGCGGAUUUGUAAGUUGAAUGUGAAAACUGCAGGCUUAACUUGUAGACUGCGUUCAAAACUGCAGGUCUAGAGUGAAGUAGAGGCAAAUGGAAUUCCUAGUGUAGCGGUGGAAUGCGUAGAUAUUAGGAGGAACACCAGUGGCGAAAGCGGUUUGCUGGGCUUUAACUGACGCUGAGGCUCGAAAGCAUGGGGAGCGAAC